rnacentral:rRNA from 1 species
AAGGAAACUGGACGACCUUCGGGGAGCUUGUACAGGUGCUGCAUGGCUGUCGUCAGCUCGUGUCGUGAGAUGUUCGGUUAAGUCCGCUAACGAGCGCAACCCUGCUGUGUGUUACAAGUGUCACACGGAACUGCCGGUCAUAAACCGGAGGAAGGUGGGAUGACGUCAAGUCAGCAUGGCCUUUAUAUCCUGGGCUACACACACGCUACAAUGGGAAGGGACAAUAGGUUGCGAAGCCGCGAGGCGGAGCCAAUCCAGCAAAACUUCCCUCAGUUCAGAUUGCAGGCUGCAACUCGCCUGCAUGAAGUUGGAGUUGCUAGUAAACGCAGGUCAGCCAUACUGCGUUGAAUACGUUCCCGGGGCUU